rnacentral:rRNA from 1 species
GAUGAACGCUAGCGGCAGGCCUAACACAUGCAAGUCGAGGGCAGCACGUCUUCGGAUGGUGGCGACCGGCGCACGGGUGCGUAACGCGUAUGCAACCUACCUCUUACAGUGGGAUAGCCCAGAGAAAUUUGGAUUAAUACCGCAUAGUAUACAGAUUCAGCAUUGGGACUGUAUUAAACAUUUANGGGUAAGAGAUGGGCAUGCGUUCUAUUAGUUAGUUGGAGUGGUAACGGCACCCCAAGACAGCGAUAGAUAGGGGCCCUGAGAGGGGGAUCCCCCGACACUGGUACUGAGACACGGACCAGACUCCUACGGGAGCAGCAGUGAGGAAUAUUGGACAAUGGGCGAGAGCCUGAUCCAGCCAUGCCGCGUGCAGG